rnacentral:sRNA from 1 species
GCUGGGUGCAUUUGGCAGGUACCUGUAGUCUUAGCUACUCGGGAAGCUGAGACAGGUGGAUCAACUGGGCUCACAAGUUUCAGACCAGCCUGUACAACAUAGUGAGACCCUGUCUCAA